rnacentral:rRNA from 1 species
UACAGAGGGUGCGAGCGUUAAUCGGAAUUACUGGGCGUAAAGCGCACGUAGGCGGCUUUGUAAGUUAGAGGUGAAAGCCCGGGGCUCAACUCCGGAACUGCCUUUAAGACUGCAUCGCUUGAAUCCAGGAGAGGUGAGUGGAAUUCCGAGUGUAGAGGUGAAAUUCGUAGAUAUUCGGAAGAACACCAGUGGCGAAGGCGGCUCACUGGACUGGUAUUGACGCUGAGGUGCGAAAGCGUGGGGAGCAAACAGG